AUGGCUUCUUAUCAAUCUCGAAUUUGGUGGAUUUUGUUGAUUGCUUUUGUUUUACUUUCAGGAUUCACAACUAGUCUUGAUCCUCCAGGAUAUGUGUGCGCCUGGACAUGCACAACUGAGCAAGAGUGCAAUAAGUUCUGCGCUGAUUUUUUUAAGCAUAAAAAACGUGGUUCAUGUAUAGAUCCCGUACCAGAACCCGAACCUCAUAGGCGAUGUUGCUGUCAUGAUUAA